AUGGACUUCGCAUAUUCUUAUGGUGUCAAAACCACGGCUACUGGUGGCUACGGAUGGGAAAUUCAGUGUCAUGAAGCAUUGAAGCGUAUGACGUUUUUGUGCGUUUUGUCCGAACUUCUUCGGUGUUUUUGGGGGGAUAUGAACUUCUUCAGUGUUGAGCUGGAACUUUGCAUAUACAUGUGGUCUGUUCUAUGUUUCAUCAAGGCUGUUGAAAACUUGAAAUGCAAUAAAUUGUCUCAGCUCUGCAAAUUGGAGAGCUCAACCUUGUACAUGGGCACCUGGUGUCCCAAGUCUGAGAGAAACCACAUGAUAGCUGCGUAUUUGUUUCCUAUGAAUCUGGCUGGAGCACUGUCUUUUAUUUAUAAAGAUUGUCUGGGCUGCCUCCCCAGUAUAUGUUUAAAUUUUUCUGAUCAAUCUAUGUUCUACUAG
rnacentral:rRNA from 1 species